rnacentral:lncRNA from 10 species
UGUAGUACAAAUACGCUCCAAACAAAAGAUGUCAACACUCAGGAAACCGAGACAGUACCCACUGCCAGCAGCAGAUGGGAAGUCUAAACAGGAGAGACUGAAUAAAGCUGACAACUGAGGCAGGAUAAAGAAGAGAAGGAACAAAGAAGGAGGGGGCAGGAAAAGAAGCCAAGCAGAACAUGCUAGCCUGUCGAUUUUGUCUUCCAUUAAGGCUUCAGCAGAAGAUAAGAAAAGCUAAGCCACGUCAGUGAAGGGAGGACAGCAGGAAGGCUUUCAGGGGAAGAUUUGUGGUGUGGAUUCACUCGGCAUUGAUGAGAGCAGCUCCCCAGACAGAUACCGAGAAUGAAAAACCAAACCAGUGACCAGGAAGAGAAGAUAUGAAGAAAAAUAUAAGUACAUCUUUUAUUGUAAAAAUGAAUAACUAUAGGCUAUAGACUGAAUGUGGAAGCCUAAAUCCCUAGUGUGAUGGUAUUGGGAGGUGGGGCUUUGGGAUGCGAUUAUUAAUAGGUCAAGAGGGUGGUGCCCUCAUGAAUGAGAUUAGUGUCCACAUAAGAAAAGACGCAAAAGAGAUAUCUCUCCCUCCCCAUCCCCACACGGCAUAAGAAUACAAGACAGCUCUCUGCAAACCAAAAAGAAAGCCCUCACCAGACUGGAUCUGCCAGCACCUUGAUCUUGGACUUCUCAACCUCCAGAACUGUGAGAAAUAAAUCUCUGUUUUCUAAGUCACCCAGUCUAUUGUAUUUUUUAUAGCAGCC